GGAUUAGAUACCCUGGUAGUCCACGCCGUAAACGAUGUAUGCUAGUUGUCGGGGGUUCUGCCUUCGGUGACGGAGUUAACGCAUUAAGCAUACCGCCUGGGGAGUACGGUCGCAAGAUUAAAACUCAAAGGAAUUGACGGGGACCCGCACAAGCGGUGGAGCAUGUUGUUUAAUUCGAAGCAACGCGAAGAACCUUACCCACACUUAACUAUCCUCUUGGGACUUUCAGAGAUGAUUGUCUUCGGUUCGGCCGGGGAGUGAAUAGGUGCUGCAUGGCUGUCGUCAGCUCGUGCCG
rnacentral:rRNA from 1 species